UGCGAAGUAGCGCCUUGUGGCGGGAAAGGGGAUAAGAUGUGGGCCGGACCCGGCCCAAUUCCUUGGAGACAUUCCAUAGCACCGCCCAUUGAGAAACCUAGGAAAUCACAGGGCUAAAGUGAAAAUAACCCUCGUCCUACAUCUGGAUGGCGAUCGCCGAGCGCAGAAAGGCAGAACCCUAGCGGCGGCGGCGAGGCGAGAGGGAACGGGAGAAGCGUUCCUGGAAUCUCUUGGGAUGGGGUUGGGUUGGAAAACCCCAUGAUUGAUGCUUCCUCUCCUCUCCUUUCCUCUACGGAUCAAUAGAGGAUCGGUUGGAGAUUGUCAAAAUUGGUGUCUUCCAAUUCCUCCCAUUCCGAUGGUUUCCAUGAACUCCUCCCCUUCCCUGGAGAACCUUUUAUCUGCGACGAGGACGACGCCGGUGAUAUCUCUUUGAUUUCGACUAAAAGGGGAAGUAUUUGAUUUUUAUUGUUUCAGGAUCUGUUUUUCUUCUAGUAGUUUAACUUUGAAAGCUGAUCUCUUCGAUUGGUUAUUUGCUUUUCUCAGAUCUAUAUGGAUCUACAAAAAAAAUUCUUACCAUGUCCUGCGGAGGAUAAAAAACGCAUUUUUUUCAGGCUUGCUUAGGAAAAUUUCUAAUGCGGAAAACAUUUCAAUUUUGUUUUCUUACUUUUUGUUUGUUUGUUCAGAGAGUCUUACUCAUCACCUGCGUUAAAAUCAUAAUUUCCAUUUUUUUUCUCUCCCUCUCUCGUUUACUUUAUGAACUUUGGCAGGAUGAAAGCUUUGGAUAUAACAGGUGGAUCGAAGUGUCCAAAUCUACGGCAAUUCGAGAAACUUGCACUGGAAGUGAAAACCCUUUGCAUAGCUUUCAUGAGUUGAUCUGGAAUCAUAAAGGGCGACUAAAUUUUGUCUGUUCAUGUAUUAGCUCGUGGCCACGAAGCAAGGGGAACAGUGGUAUGGCUGCUCCGCUGAAUGACGCAUCAGUAUAUCUGCCCGGUUUAUCCCAGAACGUAAAAAAUUAAUUUUUUCCCUGGGCUCA